rnacentral:lncRNA from 1 species
ACCUUAAUUAGUUUAAUUUUUCAUAAUUUUAUUGAUUAAUUUACUGUUUAUUCUUGAUUUAUUUCUAACCUAGUCUUAUUAAUUGUCUUUUGGUUUGACCUAUGUUUUUUUUUUUAAUUCAUUCACGUGCCAACUUUCAUUAUUUUUAAAAUCUUUUUGGAGGAUGAUGAUGUCCUGACAUCACCAUAUUUAGUUUAAUUUUUCAUAAUUUUCUUGAUUAAUUUACUAUUUAUUCUUGAUUUAUUUCUAACCUAGUCUUAUUAAUUGACUUUUGGUUUGACCUAUGUUUUUUUUAAUUAAUUCACGUGCCAAUUUUC